rnacentral:rRNA from 1 species
GACGAACGCUGGCGGCGUGCUUAACACAUGCAAGUCGAACGAUGAAGCCUAGCUUGCUAGGUGGAUUAGUGGCGAACGGGUGAGUAAUACGUGAGUGACCUACCUUUGACUCUGGGAUAAGCCUGGGAAACUGGGUCUAAUACCGGAUACGACCAAUCUCCGCAUGGGGUGUUGGUGGUAAGCGUUAGGGAGUGGUUUUAGAUGGGCUCACGGCCUAUCAGCUUGUUGGUGAGGUAAUGGCUUACCAAGGCGACGACGGGUAGCCGGCCUGAGAGGGUGACCGGCCACACUGGGACUGAGACACGGCCCAGACUCCUACGGGAGGCAGCAGUGGGGAAUAUUGCACAAUGGGCGCAAGCCUGAUGCAGCGACGCCGCGUGAGGGAUGACGGCCUUCGGGUUGUAAACCUCUGUUAGCAUCGAAGGAGCGAAAGUGACGGUAGGUGCAGAGAAAGCGCCGGCUAACUACGUG